UGACUUAACUUAGUGCGAGUUUGAAGAGUUGCUCUCUAGAUUCUCAGACCCGUCUCACUUCCCUCAAACGAUACUCUACAGAUCACUUCAAGCCUUAAUACAGAUUCUAAGCGAUACUCUUGAGAUUCUAAGCUAAAACWGCUCGUGAUGAUGACAUUAAAAGGUUUGGUUGUGAGUUUGGUGCUAUUGAUGKUCGUGGUCAAGRAGARUGACGGCACGACCACCGUCCUACCAAGACCAAGUCCACGAACGAAACCUCAGGAUUGGAAGCGCCACAUWAUCGACUUUCAAGAGAACGACUGGCGUCCUCCUCUUACUAGAGCCAUCGACACGGCCCCUGAGUCGCCAAAAAGUAAUGAUCAAAACUGUUUCUUGCAUCCCAAUAAUAAUUCUAAAUAAACUACAAUAACAGAACUACAUGAGAAGGCUUUCCAAAUAUAUCAAUGUUCCAAUUGCAACCAUAKAUGAAACUUGUUAACAAAUCAAUAAAGGAAAUCAAACAUCAAUAAACUGAAGAUAAAAUAUUGA